rnacentral:rRNA from 1 species
GACGAACGCUGGCGGCGUGCUUAACACAUGCAAGUCGAACGGAAAGGCCCUGCUUUUGUGGGGUGCUCGAGUGGCGAACGGGUGAGUAACACGUGAGUAACCUGCCCUUGACUUUGGGAUAACUUCAGGAAACUGGGGCUAAUACCGGAUAGGAGCUCCUGCUGCAUGGUGGGGGUUGGAAAGUUUCGGCGGUUGGGGAUGGACUCGCGGCUUAUCAGCUUGUUGGUGGGGUAGUGGCUUACCAAGGCUUUGACGGGUAGCCGGCCUGAGAGGGUGACCGGCCACAUUGGGCCUGAGAUACGGACCAGACGCCUACGGGAGGCAGCAGUGGGGAAUAUUGCCCAAUGGGCGGAAGCCUGAUGCAGCAACGCCGCGUGCGGGAUGACGGCCUUCGGGUUGUAAACCGCUUUCGCCUGUGACGAAGCGUGAGUGACGGUACUGGGUAAAGAAGCACCGGCUAACUACGUG